GGAAAAUCCAUGGCUGGGGAAAGCCACAGAGCCCUCGAGUUAGCACGAGGGAGGACACCAACCAGCCCCAACAGCAAUCCCAGCGUUCCCAGUUUGUCACGUACAGGUGAAAUAUGCGCUUGGGAAGGCAGACGUUUCAUCAUCCAGCAUUUCAGGAAUCAGCCCCUCUCCCGCUGCACCCACAGGGGUCUGUGCAGGUUCCCUCGUCCUCGGCAAAGCCUGGCCCUCGGGGGUGAGGAUCCAUCUCUCCCCCACUUCCCCCACCUCUGAUUCAUGGGCUCAGGGAACUACACAAGAGCUGGUGAGUCUUCUGCGUCCAGUAAGCUCUCUAGGCUGUCCCUCGAGAAAGAAUGAACUCUGAUCCUGAGCCCAGGAGUUGCUGGCCUGGCUGCAGUUUCUCUGUCAAAGGCCUCACUUACUGCCUGGAAAUUCCACAACUGUCUCAAGCAAAAAUGCUCACAAAAACUCCAUGGCCUGGUGCAAAAUCGUCCUGAACUGCACAAGCCAGGACUAAUGAAAGGAACCCACCAGGAUGUGGCCAAGCUUAGAGGGCACCAGGAAAAGAGCACAACAGAAAACUCCCACAGAACCAGACCGCAGAGCCCAUCGAGCCCAAAGCCCUCGUGUUUCCAACCAACUCCGGCAUGCGAGCGGGCCCCUUCCGUGACACUGCCGUCUGCUCCUUCCAUAUCCCUGACUGACGGGGCACAGCUCGGUGUCAGAGGUGGGAUGCUCCCCUGAGGACAAGCAGCCUAGCUGGACACAGCCCUGGCCAGCCUCACAGGAAUUCAUUUGGGGAUGAGAACGUGAGGGAGCUGGGGAAGCCCCGCGGUGUGGCUGCCAACAGGCAACCCGGACGUGGAUGUGUGGGCACCGUGGGCGCAGUCUCUGCGGACGGCCGCCAACAACCCCUCCCAUCCGACCGCACCUGCCGUGAGACUCCAGCUGAACCUGGGUGGCCCUGGGAUGACUCUGACCAACAGGAGGCAGUGACUCUGUGCCAGUUCCAGGCCUGGCCCUUAAGAGGUCUGAAAGAUGCUGCUUUGCUUUCUUGGAACCCGGCCACCCCACUGCAGGGAUGGCCGGGCGCUCCUGUUGAGGGGAGAGGACACGUGGAGGGGCCCUGGAGGAGACACCAAUGUGCACGGGCCCCUUGAAAAAGAGCUGAGAUGCCCCAGCUGACAGCACCAGGGCUCCAGCCCAGCCACCGGCUGAAUGCCGGCACACGAGUGACCUCAACACCUUGUAGGACAAAAACAACUGCCCAGUCGACCCACAAAAUGGGGAGAAAUAAUAAACUGCUGAUGGUUAAAGACACUAAGUUUCCAGGUGGUUUGCUUACAGCAAGAAGUAACUGAUACAGAUGGUAAAACUGUAAAGAAAAGGGGAUGAUCAACAAAAUAUUUCAGGGUAACGAUUCUGUCUGGAUGGCAGGAGGAGCAAUUAGGGUCUUCUGAGAUGCUGGGAGUGCUCUAUUUCUUUAUUUGGAUACCCCUAGACUUAUUAUUUAAACUAAAUAUGUGCAUUUCAUAUACUUUUAUACGGGAACAUUUUUCAAAAUUUAACAAAAUUUGUAAUAAGAAAAAAGUGAGGUAAAAGUGCCACACUCAAUCCGUGCAGAGAUGGGAUGUUUCCAACCGUG